rnacentral:rRNA from 1 species
UACGGGAGGCAGCAGUGGGGAAUAUUGCACAAUGGGCGCAAGCCUGAUGCAGCCAUGCCGCGUGUAUGAAAAAGGCCUUCGGGUUGUAAAGUACUUUCAGUCGUGAGGAAGGUGUUAAGGUUAAUAACCUUAGCAAUUGACGUUAGCGACAGAAGAAGCACCGGCUAACUCCGUGCCAGCAGCCGCGGUAAUACGGAGGGUGCGAGCGUUAAUCGGAAUUACUGGGCGUAAAGGGCACGCAGGCGGUUAAUUAAGUUGGAUGUGAAAUCCCCGGGCUUAACCUGGGAAUGGCAUUCAAGACUGGUUAGCUAGAGUCUUGUAGAGGGGGUAGAAUUCCAUGUGUAGCGGUGAAAUGCGUAGAGAUGUGGAGGAAUACCGGUGGCGAAGGCGGCCCCUGGACAAAGACUGACGCUCAUGUGCGAAAGCGUGGGGAGCAAACGAGGGAUUAGGAUACC